AAUGUUGUGCCAGAUGAAUUGGGUUACCUUGAUGGGGUAAAAUAUGAAUUUUAUUUCCAAUAUUA
rnacentral:tRNA from 1 species